rnacentral:rRNA from 1 species
UGCAGUCGAGCGAACAGAUAAGGAGCUUGCUCCUUUGACGUUAGCGGCGGACGGGUGAGUAACACGUGGGUAACCUACCUAUAAGACUGGGAUAACUUCGGGAAACCGGAGCUAAUACCGGAUAACAUUUGGAACCGCAUGGUUCUAAAGUGAAAGAUGGUUUUGCUAUCACUUAUAGAUGGACCCGCGCCGUAUUAGCUAGUUGGUAAGGUAACGGCUUACCAAGGCGACGAUACGUAGCCGACCUGAGAGGGUGAUCGGCCACACUGGAACUGAGACACGGUCCAGACUCCUACGGGAGGCAGCAGUAGGGAAUCUUCCGCAAUGGGCGAAAGCCUGACGGAGCAACGCCGCGUGAGUGAUGAAGGGUUUCGGCUCGUAAAACUCUGUUAUUAGGGAAGAACAAAUGUGUAAGUAACUGUGCACGUCUUGACGGUACCUAAUCAGAAAGCCACGGCUAACUACGUGCCAGCAGCCGCGGUAAUACGUAGGUGGCAAGCGUUAUCCGGAAUUAUUGGGCGUAAAGCGCGCGUAGGCGGUUUCUUAAGUCUGAUGUGAAAGCCCACGGCUCAACCGUGGAGGGUCAUUGGAAACUGGGAAACUUGAGUGCAGAAGAGGAAAGUGGAAUUCCAUGUGUAGCGGUGAAAUGCGCAGAGAUAUGGAGGAACACCAGUGGCGAAGGCGACUUUCUGGUCUGUAACUGACGCUGAUGUGCGAAAGCGUGGGGAUCAAACAGGAUUAGAUACCCUG